rnacentral:rRNA from 1 species
UGAGUACGAGAUGCUACGGCGUCGAAGCAGUCUAGGUCAUACUUCCAAGCAAAGCUUGCACUGUCAUAAACAAAGAAUGCCUGUACCAUAACCGACACAGGUGGGUAGGUAGAGUAUACUAAGGGGCGCGAGAUAACUCUCUCUAAGGAACUCGGCAAAAUGACUCCGUAACUUCGGGAGAAGGAGUGCCUUAUCUUUAAGGUUGCAAUAACAAGAUCCAAGCAACUGUUUACCAAAAACACAGGUCUCCGCUAAGUCGUAAGACGAUGUAUGGGGGCUGACGCCUGCCCAGUGCCAGAAGGUUAAAGAAGUUGGUUAGCAUUUGCGAAGCUGAUAACUGAAGCCCUGGUGAACGGCGGCCGUAACAAUAACGGUCCUAAGGUAGCGAAAUUCCUUGUCGGGUAAGUUCCGACCCGCACGAAAGGCGUAAUGAUUUGGAUACUGUCUCGGAGAGGGGCUCGGUGAAAUAGACUUGUCUGUGAAGAUGCGGACCACCUGCACCUGGACAGAAAGACCCUAUGAAGCUUUACUGUAACUUGAGAUUGAAAUUGGACUUUAUUUGCGCAGUAUAGGUGGGAGGCGUUGAGAAUAAUCUUGCGGGAUUAUCGGAGCCAUCAGUGAGAUACCACUCUUGUAAUGUUAGAUUUCUAACUUUGUAUCAUUAUCUGGUCAAAGAACAGUUUCAGGCGGGCAGUUUGACUGGGGCGGUCGCCUCCCAAAGGGUAACGGAGGCGCACAAAGGUUUCCUCUGAACGGGUAGAAAUCGUAUCUAGGGUGUAAAGGCAUAAGGAAGCUUGACUGUGAGACCUACAAGUCGAGCAGGGACGAAAGUCGGUCUUAGUGAUCUGACGGUGCUGAGUGGAAAGGCCGUCACUCAACGGAUAAAAGUUACUCUAGGAUAACAGGCUGAUCUCCCCCAAGAGUUCACAUCGACGGGGAGGUUUGGCACCUCGAUGUUGGCUCAUCGCAUCCUGGGGCGGUAGUACGUCCCAAGGGUUGGGCUGUUCGCCCAUGAAAGCGGUACGCGAGCUGGGUUCAGAACGUCGUGAAACAGUUCGGUCCAUAUCCGGUGUAGGCGUUAGAAUAUUGAAAGGAGCCUUCUCUAGUACGAGAGGACCGAGAAGGACAUACCUCUGGUGUGCCAGUUAUCGUGCCAACGGUAAACGCUGGGUAGCUAUGUAUGGAGUGGAUAACCGCUGAAAGCAUCUAAGUGGGAAGCCCACCUUAAGAUAAG